rnacentral:lncRNA from 1 species
ACCCUGUCCUCGCCCGCCACUCACCGGCGCCAGGGGAACGCAGGAGCGUGAGCCCCUUCGCGCCCCCAGCGCCGUCGGCGUCGCUGCCCCAGACACAGACACUGCCUCGAGAGGCCUCACAGAGGCGGGGGCAGAAGGCGGCGACCCAGAGCCGCCACAUCCCCCGCCUUGGGCGCCGUCACAGUCCCCAGACGCCCUGGACUCCUGCAGUCUACGAAGACGCGCGGGGGACGGCGUGGUUCCGAGAGAGGGCGCCAAAGGCGACGUGCCGGCCGCCAGCUCCAGGCCGAGCCCCGAGCGCCUGCAGGAACACGCCCCUUCACCCGGCGCGGGACGCAGAGCUGCGAGAGAAUCUUGUUCAGCGCGGACUCAACGCCAGGGCGCCGCCUAGAGCCAACCCCUCCGCCAACUGGCUGCACGCUCGCUCUUCCCGGAAAAAGCGCUGUCCCUACACCAAAUACCAGACGCUGGAGCUAGAGAAGGAGUUUCUGUUCAAUAUGUACCUCACCAGGGACCGUAGGCACGAAGUGGCCAGACUCCUCAAUCUGAGUGAGAGACAAGUCAAAAUCUGGUUUCAGAACCGGCGGAUGAAAAUGAAGAAAAUGAAUAAGGAGCAGGGCAAAGAGUAAAGAUUAAAGAUUACCCCCAGUCCUCCCUAGCUCUUCCCCAUCUCACUCUUAGUUAUGUGACGACUGCAAAGCCAGUGCUGUCUGGGAUGUAUUCAAGUGAAUGGGGAAGGGAGUCUCUCUUCCAAGUCCUUUAUCUGCACCUAGAACCUCCCUCCUUUCCUUUGCCCUUACCUGUCUCUCUCUUCUCUCUAGGUGUCAGGAGAAAGUUUUGUUGAUUUAGAAGAUAGAAAUAGUUGGUUCCUAAGAAUGUGAUGGGCCACAAGGAAAGAGAGACCCCAGUCAAGCUCCUAGUAUGCCCUGUAAUUUUUCUGGGAAGUCCUAGCCCCUCACUUCCAGCUUGCCUGUUUCUUCUCUACACCCACCCAAAAGUCACCCAGGGACACUCCAACUCUACACAGCUCAGCAGACAUCCACACACAGUAAUGGGGUGAGCUCACAACCACCAUUCAGUCAAGUGAGGUGACACUCCAGUUGCAGACCAUCGCACACCAAAUUUGGCAAAACAGCCCUCAGACUGUCAGGCAAGCCCGGGUUCUACCCCUAAUGCAAAUACCCACCAGGGAGAUGUCUAGAGGCAGACUCCUGAGUGAGGUGUUGCAGCCCAAAGGCUGCAGCAUUGCCAUACCAUUCCCAUGGAGUUGCCAACUAUUCUCAGGCCAAGGGCCAUGGGGAAGAUGGAGCAAACCUAGCCCCCAAGCCGGUGGGCUAGAAAGUACAAGAAAAGGCAGCACGUGGUUUUAUGAAGCUAUCUUAGGUGGAGCUACUCCCCACCUCCCACCAACAUAUACAUUUUGUUGCAGGAAAUGUUUAAUUCCGCAUGAUGUUUCCCUCUCCUUCCAACAAAAGAAGGUCAAACUGUGGGUCGUAGAGCCUUGACAAUGUUGUCCUCCUGUUCAUCUGUGCACCACUUGACAGACUGUAGCUUCUCUUGCUCUCGACCGGCCCUGCAUUCUUCCGCACCCUCCCUAGCUCUGAAAUCAACUCUCUUCGGUCGUAUCCACCUUGCACCCGCAAGUCAAGCCGCCCCUUGUAGAAAAAUCCCUCCACCUUCCGUUCCCCGCUAGGUCAACCCCACUGUAGACAGGAAAGCCAGGCCAGGAGAGUCCGAAUGAGAAUUUAUUGUGAAUCGAUUCCCAAGCUCCCUUCCGGGACAAGUGGUCUGGGACAGGGAGGAGCAACGGCCCCAGCGCGCAACGCUCUGCGCGUUCCUCCGAAUCCCGUCGGCUUCUCGACCCACGCAGAGAAGCCCCGGGCUUGGCGGCUCUAGCCCCAGCGCCAAAGGAGACCCGCCCCAGGGCCGGGCUUGGCCUCCUGCUUCAUGGGCCUGGAUGCAGAUCUGCGUGGCUGGUGCGUGCGCGCGCUUCUGGGAAACAGUCCCGCGUGCAAAGGAAAGGGGCAAAAUGGCACCUAAGCAUCAGAUGGAAGCUUACUCUCUGCUUCCGUUCCUCCCCCUGCUCCCCUACUUCUCAGUCCCCUUCAAUUUGUAGACUCUUGCUCCUGCUUCUCCUGAUCCUGCAAGGGGACAUUCCAGUAGAAGUUUUUUGCUUUGUCGGUGGCUGUCGUGAAAUUGUGCUUGUGUUUCGUGAUUUCUUUGGGGGUGAUUGUCUCGCUUGUUUUCAGUUGUCGAUUAUAUGGGAGGGUUCUGGGUGGGAGUGGGGAGGGCGAGGGGCCUAGAGCUCUAAUUGUUUGUUUUGGAAGA